GGAGGGUGCAAACGUUGCUCGGAAUUACUGGGCGUAAAGCGCGUGCAGGCGGUUUGUUUAGUCUCGUGUGAAAUCCCUGGGCUCAACCCAGGACGUGCACGGGAUACUGGCAGACUAGAGUGCGGGAGAAGAGGGCGGAAUUCCCGGUGUAGAGGUGAAAUUCGUAGAUAUCGGGAGGAACACCAGAAGCGAAGGCGGCUCUCUAGACCGACACUGACGCUCAGACGCGAAAGCGUGGGUAGCAAACAGGGAUUAGAUACCCUGGUAGUCCACGCCGUAAACGAUGGAUACUAGAUGCUGGAGGCUUGACCCCCUUCAGCGCCGAAGCUAACGCAUUAAGUAUCCCGCCUGGGGAUACGGUCGCAAGACUA
rnacentral:rRNA from 1 species